GCCUCUGUAGCUCGGUUGGUUAGAGCGCUGCACCGGAAUCGCAGGGCCGUAGGUUCAAUUCCUACCAGAGGAC
rnacentral:tRNA from 1 species